rnacentral:rRNA from 1 species
UACGUAGGGGGCAAGCGUUGUCCGGAAUUACUGGGCGUAAAGCGCGUGUAGGCUGCUCGGAAAGUCGGAUGUGAAAGCCCUGGGCUCAACCUAGGAAGUGCAUUCGAAACUUCCAGCUGGAGUGCUGGAGAGGAAGGCGGAAUUCUCGGUGUAGAGGUGAAAUUCGUAGAUAUCGAGAGGAACACCGGUGGCGAAGGCGGCCUUCUGGACAGUUACUGACGCUGAGACGCGAAAGCGUGGGGAGCAAACAGG